rnacentral:rRNA from 1 species
CGUCUAUAUACGUAUAGCAUAUCAAUAAGCGGAGGAAAAGAAACUAACUAGGAUUCCCUUAGUAACGGCGAGUGAAGCGGGAAGAGCUCAAAUUUGAAAUCUUCAAGGUUCUACCUUGACGAAUUGUAGUUUAUAAGAAGGUGUUUUCUGUUAGAUGAGUAGGCAAAAGUUCCUUUGGAAUAGGGACAUCAUAGAGGGUGAGAAUCCCGUAUUUGGUCAUUCCUCCUAGCUUUGUGAUACACUUUCAACGAGUCGGAUUGUUUGGGAAUGCAGUCCAAAAUGGGUGGUAAAUUUCAUCUAAAGCUAAAUAUUGGCGAGAGACCGAUAGCGAACAAGUACCGUGAGGGAAAGAUGAAAAGAACUUUGAAAAGAGAGUUAAACAGUACGUGAAAUUGUCAAAAGGGAAGCGUUUGACACCAGUGUUGUUUUUCCGAAAAUCAAUUAUCGAUGUUUUGUUUUUGAGGAGUGAUGACUUCAUCGGCUUGCUCUCUUCUUUACGAAACUUUCUUAAUGCACUUUUCGGUUAACAAGUCAACAUCAAUUUCUUUUGUUGUAAAAGAGUAUUCGGAAGGUGGCUUUCUUUUCGGAGAAAGUGUUUAUAGCCCUAUACUUCUACAAUCGGAGAGAUUGAGGUCUGCAGCGUAGAUCCUUCGGGGUUAGAUACAUUUGUGCUAAGCUAUAGCCUUGUAUAGACAACUUGUUGACUAUGAUCAGUCAUGUAGCUUACUCGCUUAUGCUAUUUUACCUACGCUUAGGAUGUUGACUGAUAUGUAGUCGUA